CACUUGAGAUUCAAAAAAUACUGUUCUGUUGAACACAAAAGAAGACAUUUUGAAGAAUGUAGGACAGCAAACAGUUCUCGGUCACUUUUGACUAACAUUGUCAUUUUUCCUAGUAGUCAAAGGGGUACAAGAACUGUUUGUUUACAAGCAUUCGUCCAAAUAUCUUUCUCAGUUUUCAUCAGAACAGAAGUUUAUACAGAUUUGGAACAACUCGAAGAUGAAAGAAACUUACAAGAGUGAGGAAAAAAGCGAUUCAUCAUAGGGAGGCAAUAAUAGAAGAAAGGCUUAACCAUGUUACCAGGUUUCUACAAUGUCAACUCCUGUCGAGAGAGAGUAUGGUUAUUUAUUUGGAAAAGUCGAGGCAGCGGUCGAAUCGUCCGUGGUGACGGUAGAAACAGAAGCGGAUGUGGUUAAGCAGUGAGGAGAUGAGACGGGUUUGUGUCCCGCAGAACUGCUGUGAGACGCCUCUGAGCAGGACCCGCUCUGACUGG